GACCACCAUCUCAACCCAACUGGCCCAGUUUCCAAGAACUCUUCAAUGGCCUCUGAUGACAAAUUUGCAAGCUGUGUGUUUGAGUCAAGCAAAGGAUGGUCCUCCACAGAGCCCAUGGUUAAUUUCCCUCACAAGAAGAAUUGCUCCCUGAUGGUCAAGGUCUUAUGAUUCAGUAUCUUGUGUCUCGGUGGGGGUACAGAUAUUACCACAUUAAGACUGCAUGAUGCGUGUUUUGGAGCGCUAUAGGAUGGUUGAUUUGUUCCAGCCAGUGAUGGGAGACGAGGCCUCAGUGAUACCAC